rnacentral:rRNA from 1 species
GAGUUUGAUCAUGGCUCAGAGUGAACGCUGGCGGUAGGCCUAACACAUGCAAGUCGAACGGCAGCGACAGCAGUAGCAAUACUGGUGGGUGGCGAGUGGCGGACGGGUGAGGAAUACAUCGGAAUCUACUCUGUCGUGGGGGGAUAACGUAGGGAAACUUACGCUAAUACCGCAUACGACCUACGGGUGAAAGUGGGGGACCGCAAGGCCUCACGCGAUUGAAUGAGCCGAUGUCGGAUUAGCUAGUUGGCGGGGUAAAGGCCCACCAAGGCGACGAUCCGUAGCUGGUCUGAGAGGAUGAUCAGCCACACUGGAACUGAGACACGGUCCAGACUCCUACGGGAGGCAGCAGUGGGGAAUUUUGCGCAAUGGGCUAACGCCUGACGCAGCAACGCCGCGUGGAGGAUGAAGGUCUUUGGAUUGUAAACUCCUGUCAGCAGGGAAAAAGCGAUUUAGGUGAAUACCCUAGAGAGUUGAUUGUACCUGCAGAGGAAGCCCCGGCUAACUCUGU